rnacentral:rRNA from 1 species
GUUCAGGUAACACUGAAUGGAGGACCGAACCGACUUACGUUGAAAAGUGAGCGGAUCAACGGCGGGUAGCGGAGAAAUUCCCAUCGAACCUUGAGGUACCUGGAUCUCUCCGCAAUAGCUUUCUGGCUACCCCCAUGAGAAGAGUCUUUGAGGUAGGGCACUGGUUGGACGAGGGGCCCCUAUCGGGUUUCCGAAUUCAACCUAACUCCGCAUGACAAUUAGUUUAACUUGGUUGUCAGAACACGGGUGACAAGGUCCGUGUUCUAAAGGGAAAAAGCCC